rnacentral:tRNA from 1 species
UGAAACAUAGCUCAGAGGUAGAGCAAUUGCCUUUUAAGCAACUGGUCAUGGGUUCGAUCCCCAUUGUUUUCA